CCAAUAGCGUAUAUUAAAGUUGUUGCAGUUAAAAAGCUCGUAGUUGAAUUUCGGGGUUAGUAGGCUGGUCAUGCCUCUGGUAUGUACUGGUCUCACUGAUUCCUCCUUCCUGAUGAACCGUAAUGCCAUUAAUUUGGUGUUGCGGGGAAUUUGGACUGUUACUUUGAAAAAAUUAGAGUGUUUAAAGCAAGCUAACGCUUGAAUACAUUAGCAUGGAAUAAUGAAAUAGGACGUUCGAUCCUAUUUUGUUGGUUUCUAGGAUUGACGUAAUGAUUAAUAGGGAUAGUUGGGGGCAUUAGUAUUCAAUUGUCAGAGGUGAAAUUCUUGGAUUUAUUGAAGACUAACUACUGCGAAAGCAUUUGCCAAGGAUGUUUUCAUUAAUCAAGAACGAAAGUUAGGGGAUCGAAGACGAUCAGAUACCGUCGUAGUCUUAACCAUAAACUAUGCCGACUAGGGAUCGGAUGAUGUUAAUUUUUUAAUGACUCGUUUGGCACCUUACG
rnacentral:rRNA from 1 species